ensembl:lncRNA
UGGGUCAUGGUGAUCUCCCCAGGGCCUAGCACAGUGCCUGGCACUCAGUAAAUAUGUGUGAGUAAAUUCUAUCUGAAGGGUUUUUUGCCCAAGCUUUCCUCUUGGCCAAGAGGUCUAAAACAGAGGAGCCAGGCUUCUGAGAAAGUCCCCAAGAACCCUGGGCACAUGAGGAUGGAGGGCCAGUGGCCAGUGACAGUGUGCCGCCCCCAGGUCAAGCCUGACACUGGACUCCCACACCCCCCAUUGCUGGGUGGACCCAGGCGGCCGGGUAACUCAUCCCAUUCUGCUCACCUUCCCCUUGGGACCUGAUGCUGGCUGGCCCUGCACAGAGCAAGGGGCCCAGGUGUCACCUGAGGAACCCUAAGGGUUUGCUGGGUAGACCUCGGUGCACAAGCUGGUGUACAGUGCCUGGUGGCUUGAGUUGGGGCCACCCGACUGAUGGCUCGUCCACGAGUUGCCUGCGAACCAGAACGAUCCUCAGGCACAUUGAGCAACCGGCUUCCCUUUGUCGCCCGAGGCGGGAGCUGGGCCAGGGAAAGUGAAGAAACCUGUUCUGGGCCUCCGCUGGGGUGGGCGUGGGCGGGGCCCUGCCGGGAAAGGAGCAGCUGGACCAGUUUCCUUGGCUCCUGGACCGGAUGCAGCCCCGUGACUAGGGCGGAGGCUGGAGAAAUACGUGCCCUGGGCGCACCUGUGUGUCCUCUGGGCCAACACUGGCUUUGACAAUGAUAAGACUAAGGGCUCUAGGUCAGCUGUCGCCGGACUUGCGACUUCCGGCUGCUAAAUUAGGCGAGCGGGCGCGGCAGCAGCGAUCAGCUGAUAGGUAGAACUACAAGAGGCUUUGGACAUCCUGUAGGUUGCCGCCAGAAGCCGGCCGGUGGGGGAAGGGUUCGGAACCGGUACGACCGCCUCAGCCGCGCCGGGAGAGGCCGAGAGUCCGCCACGCUCAGCCGUCGCGCGGGGGCGGUACUCCGGGCCCCCCAGGAUGAGCCGAGCCGAGAAACCCAGCACGAGAAAGUCCCCACCCACCUGCACCCUCUUCCGUGGGUCACCCCGCGCGUGGCAGGCCCUUGACAAAUAUCGUCCUGAAUUCUCCCCGCGAUCCUGGGAGUAUCCUCCCCAUUUUAUAGACGAGAGACUGAGGCUUACCAAGUGUAAGGGGCUUGACCGAGGUCCCAUAGGCGAAAAAAGUGGCAAACCAAGAACUUCUAACCGAAUAUAUCUGGCUGCAAAAUCCAGUCUUCUCCCAUCCCGCCGGUCACCAGUGAGACUGUAAAGGUCUUAAAGGAGAAGAAUAAAAAAAAAAAUAACCACACGAAUCAGAUUAACAGAUCGUAAGGAAUUGAAAGGGCCUUCCAGAGCUGCUGGUAUUUCAAACAAGUGGACUCGAACCACAGGAUAAGUAACAAACUACUUUUCCUGGGUGACCAAUCAUACUUUUUUUUUAAUUAAAAAUAUAUUUAUUAAAAUAGAUUACGAUGGAGAAGAAUAUAAUUUUCAAAAUAAUGAUAGCUGAAAACAGAAGACUUAAAAGAAAUGUCAGGCUGUUUCCACCUCGCACACCUUUCGUUCGAUUGCACACACAUUCUUGACAUCAAGUACAUAAACAGGCAAACUGAGGCCCGAAACCAGUCCCACUGAGAGCGAGAGGCCGAGUGGGAGGAGAACCGAGAUUUCCGGGCUCUCGGCCUGGGGUGCUUUCGGCUGGGGGCGGGGGUCCUGUUUGUAAACAGGUGUCCUCGGACAGCCACUGCCGAUUUUUGUCACUCUGCCAACCGGAGGGACGAUUCUGAGUAAUCGCUAGCAGUCAGCGCAGCUGGGGCUAAAAGCGAAAGGGACGCGCGCGCGACGGGCCCGGGAGGGCGACGGGUAAAGCGCGCAGGCGGGGCCGCCGCCGGGUUCCCGCGGGGCGACCGUGCGGUAGGCCUCCUCCCGGACCGCUCUCGACGGCCCCGCCCCGCGCAGGCGGCGGGCGCUGCAGGCCCCGCCCCUGCUCCCAGCCCAGGGGACCCAUCCCGGACCUGAGAAUCCCGGUCCCAAACCCCUCCUCCCAAAAGGGGCUAAAAGGUGCAGGGGGCUUUUGACCAGCCCGUCCAGCUUCAGGUCCUGGGACCGGCGGCCCUGUCCUUGCGCGUGGGAACAGUCAGGUACUUAGGCUUGACCUUAAAUCCGCCCCUGGUAUUUGCUAAC